GUCUGUUUGCUAGAUGGAUUACCUGUGUUCAUCCUCUACCAUCAAUGGAGACAGAGUCAACACAGAAACUGGAGUUUUGAGCAUGAUUCAUCUGGCCGAAGAUCAACAUUUACCUCAGGAUGAGAGGGAUCAUGUCCUGGGUUCUGCUGUUUAGGUUUUAGUUGGGUUUAAAGAGAGCUUGAGGUCUGGCCCAGAUUGUAUGUGCAGAUACCACAAGUCACCUGUGAAAUCAGACCACACAUCCCAAGUUGCUAUUGUUUUAUUUAUCUGGGCUUGGUUUUGGGGUUCUGGUCAGCCAUAAGUAAAGUUUAAAAC
rnacentral:lncRNA from 1 species